UACAGAGACCUCAAGCGUUAUCCGGAAUCAUUGGGCGUAAAGCGUACCGAUAGGUGGUCUAAAAAGUCAGAAGUGAAAUCUCAAGGCUCAACUUUGAGACUGUCUUUUGAAACUUUAGACUAGAGGGGCAAAGAGGAAGCUGGAACGAACGGUGUAGUAGUGAAAUGCGUUGAUAUCGUUCGGAACACCAAUAGCGAAGGCGGGCUUCUGGGUGCCACCUG
rnacentral:rRNA from 1 species